UACAUGGGGUGCAAACGUUGCUCGGAAUUAUUGGGCGUAAAGCGCACGUAGGCGGUUUGUUAAGUCGGAUGUGAAAUCCCUUGGCUCAACUGAGGAAGUGCAUCCGAAACUGGCAAGCUUGAGUACGAAAGAGGAUCGCGGAAUUCCCGGUGUAGAGGUGAAAUUCGUAGAUAUCGGGAGGAACACCGGUGGCGAAGGCGGCGAUCUGGGUCGAUACUGACGCUGAGGUGCGAAAGCGUGGGGAGCAAACAGG
rnacentral:rRNA from 1 species